rnacentral:rRNA from 1 species
GGACUACCAGGGUAUCUAAUCCUGUUCGCUACCCACGCUUUCGCGCUUCAGUGUCAGUAUCAUGCCAGGUGCCUGCCUUCGCCAUCGACGUUCCUUCCGAUAUCUACGCAUUUCACCGCUACACCGGAAAUUCCAGCACCCUCUCAUGUACUCUAGUUAGAGCGUUUGCGAUGCACUUCCCAGGUUAAGCCCGGGGCUUUCACAUCACACUCCUCUUACAACCUACGCGCCCUUUACGCCCAGUUAAUCCGAUUAACGCUCGCACCCUCUGUAUUACCGCGGCUGCUGGCAC